rnacentral:rRNA from 1 species
UGGUGCUUGCAUCAUGAUUUACAUUUGAGUGAGUGGCGAACUGGUGAGUAACACGUGGGAAACCUGCCCAGAAGCGGGGGAUAACACCUGGAAACAGAUGCUAAUACCGCAUAACAACUUGGACCGCAUGGUCCGAGUUUGAAAGAUGGCUUCGGCUAUCACUUUUGGAUGGUCCCGCGGCGUAUUAGCUAGAUGGUGAGGUAACGGCUCACCAUGGCAAUGAUACGUAGCCGACCUGAGAGGGUAAUCGGCCACAUUGGGACUGAGACACGGCCCAAACUCCUACGGGAGGCAGCAGUAGGGAAUCUUCCACAAUGGACGAAAGUCUGAUGGAGCAACGCCGCGUGAGUGAAGAAGGGUUUCGGCUCGUAAAACUCUGUUGUUAAAGAAGAACAUAUCUGAGAGUAACUGUUCAGGUAUUGACGGUAUUUAACCAGAAAGCCACGGCUAACUACGUGCCAGCAGCCGCGGUAAUACGUAGGUGGCAAGCGUUGUCCGGAUUUAUUGGGCGUAAAGCGAGCGCAGGCGGUUUUUUAAGUCUGAUGUGAAAGCCUUCGGCUCAACCGAAGAAGUGCAUCGGAAACUGGGAAACUUGAGUGCAGAAGAGGACAGUGGAACUCCAUGUGUAGCGGUGAAAUGCGUAGAUAUAUGGAAGAACACCAGUGGCGAAGGCGGCUGUCUGGUCUGUAACUGACGCUGAGGCUCGAAAGUAUGGGUAGCAAACAGGAUUAGAUACCCUGGUAGUCCAUACCGUAAACGAUGAAUGCUAAGUGUUGGAGGGUUUCCGCCCUUCAGUGCUGCAGCUAACGCAUUAAGCAUUCCGCCUGGGGAGUACGGCCGCAAGGCUGAAACUCAAAGGAAUUGACGGGGGCCCGCACAAGCGGUGGAGCAUGUGGUUUAAUUCGAAGCUACGCGAAGAACCUUACCAGGUCUUGACAUACUAUGCAAAUCUAAGAGAUUAGACGUUCCCUUCGGGGACAUGGAUACAGGUGGUGCAUGGUUGCCGUCAGCUCGGGCCGGGAAAUGUUGGGUUAAGUCCCGCAACGAGCG